ensembl:lncRNA
UCCAAAUUUGCUGGCAUUUUGAGUGCAGCAUUUUCACAGCAUCAUCUUUUAGGAUUUGAAAUAGCACGACUGGAAUUCCAUCACCUCCACUAGCUUUGUUUGUAGUAAUGCUUUCCAAAGCCCACUUGACUUCGCACUCCAGGAUGUCUGGCUCUAGCAUUUUCAUAGCACCUUAACCAGGAAUAGAUUGCAUCUCAAGAAACCACUCUGUUGAUCCAUAAGAAGUGACUCCUCAUCUAUUUGAAGUUUUAUUGUGAGAUUGCAACAAUUCCGUCCCAUCUUCAGGCUCCACAUCUAGUGCUAGUUCUUUUGCUACUUCCACCACAUCUACCGUUACUUCGUCUACUGAAAUCUUGAACUCCUCAAAGUCAUCCAUGAAGUUGGAGUCACCUUCUUCCAAGUUCUAUUAAUACACAACAAAAAGGGUUUUCCCUCCACCUCACCCUCUCACCUUUAAUCAGACUUGAAUGAUUCAUAUGAGAAGAAAAUGAGUGCUUCUGAAACCAGUGUCAUGAUUUAGAAGGUUUUAUUCAACUCCCACACUGAAUUGAAUGGUUUGUUUACUGCCUUUGUUUUUAGAAAUGAGAAUAAUGGAUGGGCACAAGAAUUAAAUGGUAAAAAUUCAUUUGGUUGGAGUAAACUACAUUGAAC